rnacentral:rRNA from 1 species
GGGUCAGUAGGUUGGUCGUGCCACCGGUACGUACUGGUCUCACUGAUUCCUCCUUCCUGAAGAACCGUAAUGCCAUUAAUUUGGUGUUGCGGGGAAACAGGACUGUUACUUUGAAAAAAUUAGAGUGUUUAAAGCAAGCUAACGCUUGACUACAUGAGCAUGGAAUAAUGAAAUAGGACGAUCGAUCCUAUUUUGUUGGUUUCUAGGAUUGACGUA